UAGUCAUAUGCUUGUCUCAAAGAUUAAGCCAUGCAUGUCUAAGCACAAGCCGAUUAAUGGUGAAGCCGCGAAUGGCUCAUUACAACAGCCAUAGUUUCUUAGAUCUUACUUUUCUACUUGGAUAACUGUGGUAAUUCUAGAGCUAAUACACGCAAACAAGCUCAGACCUUACGGAAUGAGCGCAUUUAUUAGAACAAAAACCAAUCGGGCUUCGGUCCGUCAUUUGGUGAAUCUGAAUAACUUUGCUGAUCGCACGGUCUUCGUACCGGCGACAUAUCUUUCAAAUGUCUGCCUUAUCAACUUUCGAUGGUAGUUUAUGCGCCUACCAUGGUUGUAACGGGUAACGGAGAAUAAGGGUUCGACUCCGGAGAGGGAGCCUGAGAAACGGCUACCACAUCCAAGGGAGGCAGCAGGCACGCAAAUUACCCACUCCCGGCACGGGGAGGUAGUGACGAAAAAUAACGAGACGGCUCGCUAUGCGGUCCGUCAUCGGAAUGGGUACAAUUUAAAUCCUUUAACGAGGAUCUAUU
rnacentral:rRNA from 1 species